rnacentral:rRNA from 1 species
AGAGUUUGAUCCUGGCUCAGGACUAACGUUGGCGGCGUGCCUAAUACAUGCAAGUCGAACGGGACUACCGUAGCAAUAUUGUAAUUUAGUGGCAAACAGGUGAGUAAUGCAUGGGUAACAUUCCGUGAAGGCGGGGACAACUAUCCGAAAGGAUAGCUAAUACCGGAUGUGAUUGCAGGAACCCAAGUUUCUGCAAUUAAAGGAUGGCCUCUAUUUAUAAGCUAUCGCUUCGCGAUUGGCCCAUGUUCCAUCAGCUAGUUGGUAGGGUAAAGGCCUACCAAGGCGACUACGGAUAGCCGGACUGAGAGGUUGUACGGCCACACUGGGACUGCGACACGGCCCAGACUCCUACGGGAGGCAGCAGUAGGGAAUUUUCCUCAAUGCCCGCAAGGGUGAAGGAGCGACGCCGCGUGCAGGAUGAAGGUCUUCGGAUUGUAAACUGCUUUUGUUUGGGAAUAAGGCAGGGGAGUGAAUAAUUCCUCUGUUUGACGGUACCAAAUGAAUAAGCUACGGCUAACUCUGUGCCAGCAGCCGCGGUAAUACAGAGGUAGCAAACGUUGUCCGGAUUCACUGGGCGUAAAGGGCUUGUAGGCUGUCUUAUAAGUCAGAUGUGAAAUCGUUCAGCUCAACUGAACAAUUGCAUUUGAUACUGUAAGGCUUGAGUGCAGAAGGGGAACAUGGAAUUUCCGGUGUAGCGGUGAAAUGCGUAGAUAUCGGAAAGAACACCUGUGGCGAAGGCGGUGUUCUGGUCUGCAACUGACGCUGAGGAGCGAAAGCCAGGGGAGCAAACGGGAUUAGAUACCCCGGUAGUCCUGGCCUUAAACGAUGUAUACUAGGUGUGGGAGAUUCAUUUCUUCCGUGCCGACGGCAACCCAUUAAGUAUACCGCCUGGGGACUACGAUCGCAAGAUUGAAACUCAAAGAAAUUGACGGGGAUCCGCACAAGUGGUGGAGCAUGUGGUUUAAUUCGACGCUACGCGAAGAACCUUACCUGGGCUUGACAUACAUGUGUAAGACUUAUGAAAGUAGGUCCCUCUGCCAGCAAUGGUAGACGCAUGACCAGGUGUUGCAUGGUUGUCGUCAGCUCGUGCCGUGAGGUGUUGGGUUAAGUCCUCUAACGAGCGCAACCCCUAUUGCCAGUUGCCAUCAUUCAGUUGGGAACUCUGGCGAGACUGCCCGGGAUAACCGGGAGGAAGGCGGGGAUGACGUCAAAUCGUCAUGGCCCUUAUGUCCAGGGCGACCCACGUGCUACAAUGGCGUAUACAAAGGGUAGCAAUACCGUGAGGUGGAGCCAAUCCCAAAAAGUACGCCCUAGUUCGGAUUGGAGUCUGCAACUUGACUCCAUGAAGCUGGAAUCACUAGUAAUCGCGGGUCAGCCACACCGCGGUGAAUACGUUCCCGGGUCUUGUACACACCGCCCGUCACGCCACGAAAGUUUUUUGUACCAGAAGACGCUGAUGCAACCGCAAGGAGCUAGGCGGCCAAGGUAUGAAAGAUGAUUGGGGCGAAGUCGUAACAAGGU